AACCAGGUUUGUUAUUGGUAUGAGCUUUUGUGUGCAUGCACACUUCUUCAGAUACACUGUUUCAGUGUACCUGUUUCAGUGUAUCUGAAGAAGUGUGCAUGCACACGAAAGCUCAUACCAAUAACAAACUUAGUUGA
rnacentral:miRNA from 1 species